GCGGAUGUGGCGGAAUUGGCAGACGCGCUAGACUUAGGAUCUAGUGGGCGACCGUGGGGGUUCGAGUCCCUUCAUCCGCA
rnacentral:tRNA from 1 species